rnacentral:rRNA from 1 species
AUGGUAGGAUAGAGGCCCACCAUGGUGGUAACGGGUAACGGGGUGUUAGGGCACGACACCGGAGAGGGAGCCUGAGAAACGGCUACCACAUCCAAGGAAGGCAGCAGGCGCGCAAAUUACCCAAUCCCGACACGGGGAGGUAGUGACAAUAAAUAACAAUACAGGGUUCUUUGAAUCUUGUAAUUGGAAUGAGUACAAUUUAAAUCUCUUAACGAGGAACAAUUGGAGGGCAAGUCUGGUGCCAGCAGCCGCGGUAAUUCCAGCUCCAAUAGCGUAUAUUAAAGUUGUUGCAGUUAAAAAGCUCGUAGUUGAAUUUCGGGAUCAAUACGUCGGUCGUGCUUUCGGGUACGUACUGGCGUCAUUGGUUUCUCCUUUCUGACGAACCAUGAUGUCAUUAAUUUGGUGUUAUGGGGAGUUAGGACUGUUACUUUGAAAAAAUUAGAGUGUUUAAAGCAGGCAUUAGCUUGAAUACAUUAGCAUGGAAUAAUGAAAUAGGACGUUCGAUCCUAUUUUGUUGGUUUCUAGGAUCAACGUAAUGAUUAAUAGGGAUAGUUGGGGGCAUUAGUAUUCAAUUGUCAGAGGUGAAAUUCUUGGAUUUAUUGAAGACUAACUACUGCGAAAGCAUUUGCCAAGGAUGUUUUCAUUAAUCAAGAACGAAAGUUAGGGGAUCGAAGACGAUCAGAUACCGUCGUAGUCUUAACCAUAAACUAUGCCGACUAGGGAUCGGAUGAUGUUAAUUUUUUAAUGACUCAUUCGGCGCCUUACGGGAAACCAAAGUGUUUGGG